CACAAGCUCAGGCUUCUGACUUCAUUGCAUAAUGCAGUAGCAACUGGAUUUGCAGCAGAAACACCCUGCUAAAGAACAAGUGUCUUGGUUCACAGCAAAGAGGACAAAGAAAAACAGCAAGUUCUAGGGGGUUGAAUGCUGGAUUAUGCUACCGUUGCCGGGGAAAUGUCACUGUUAGAGAAUAGAAAACUAUUAUUCCAAAGAGUAUUGAAGACUGACUGAAUCAGGUCUGGAACAUUAUUGAAAUGGAGAUGUACCCAAGACUUUCGAGGAAUAAUUUAAGGUAGGAUAGUUGUUUUGUAGCUUUUUCUCUAGGCCUACUCUUUUAGGUGCCUGCUAAAGAUAUGAUUAAGAUGAAGCUGUUAAUUGAUCAAAUACUCUGUUCAGUUUUUCCUUUUAUUUCCUAACUGAAGUUGAUAUUUUUCUAGGGUGCAAGAGCACCAUGAGUCAAUUGGCUCAGGCAAGCAAACAGAGCAUUUACCUAUAACUACUCAGCUAAAGGUCAGUUGCUGGGAUUUUGCUGUUCAUCCCCACGCAGUAAAUUCAUUUUUUUUCUCUUUUCUUUAAACUUGACACCAGUAUGAGGCAGUUCAAGUUCCCUCUGCUGUUUGCAGUGAUUGAUUUUUGAAGCAGCGGA
rnacentral:lncRNA from 1 species